CAGUGCCUGAUGGCCGGCUUCUCUGGGUCUCAAGUGGGAACCGCCACCGACUGGCUUUGGGUACUUAAGAUCUUAGAGAAUGAGGCUGCCUUACUUUCAGGCCUCUAGAAUAUCUUGCCUGAAGUCUUGGACUGCGACUUAUCUAGGAGGUCAUACAUUUAAGGACUCCUCCAGAAUUCUGCAUUCUGUCUGCAUUUAAAGACUGAUGUUUUAGGCAUCGAGGAAAUUGCAGCACUUGGAAGAUUAAUACAGACGAAUAAGAGCAACCGAACAUAGGUCCUCUAGACCUCUACAAGGGCAGCAAGUACUCUUCAACGCUGAACAUCUCUCCAGGAAGUGGACAGAAGAGCUGCCUCAAAUUGAGACCACCUUAAGAAAAAUAGCAAGCACCAGGCUACCCAGGCUGC